rnacentral:rRNA from 1 species
AAAAAAAAAGGGCCCCCGCGACACGCGUAAUCGUAGGGUGCAGCGUUAUCGGGAAUUAUUGGGCGUAAAGGGCUCGUAGGCGGUUCGUCGCGUCCGGUGUGAAAGUCCAUCGCUUAACGGUGGAUCCGCGCCGGGUACGGGCGGGCUUGAGUGCGGUAGGGGAGACUGGAAUUCCCGGUGUAACGGUGGAAUGUGUAGAUAUCGGGAAGAACACCAAUGGCGAAGGCAGGUCUCUGGGCCGUUACUGACGCUGAGGAGCGAAAGCGUGGGGAGCGAACAGGAUUAGAUACCCUGGUAGUCCACGCCGUAAACGGUGGAUGCUGGAUGUGGGGCCCGUUCCACGGGUUCCGUGUCGGAGCUAACGCGUUAAGCAUCCCGCCUGGGGAGUACGGCCGCAAGGCUAAAACUCAAAGAAAUUGACGGGGGCCCGCACAAGCGGCGGAGCAUGCGGAUUAAUUCGAUGCAACGCGAAGAACCUUACCUGGGCUUGACAUGUUCCCGACGGUCGUAGAGAUACGGCUUCCCUUCGGGGCGGGUUCACAGGUGGUGCAUGGUCGUCGUCAGCUCGUGUCGUGAGAUGUUGGGUUAAGUCCCGCAACGAGCGCAACCCUCGCCCCGUGUUGCCAGCGGAUUAUGCCGGGAACUCACGGGGGACCGCCGGGGUUAACUCGGAGGAAGGUGGGGAUGACGUCAGAUCAUCAUGCCCCUUACGUCCAGGGCUUCACGCAUGCUACAAUGGCCGGUACAACGGGAUGCGACGCGGCGACGCGGAGCGGAUCCCUGAAAACCGGUCUCAGUUCGGAUCGCAGUCUGCAACUCGACUGCGUGAAGGCGGAGUCGCUAGUAAUCGCGAAUCAGCAACGUCGCGGGAAUGCGUCCCGACCUGA